rnacentral:lncRNA from 1 species
CCCACUGAAAGCUCUACUAAGGCUUUGACAUUUCUUGUCCACCAAUUUCUAGAUAAUGUUCAUCUUUGUCCCUCUUCACUAGUGGACACCUAAGUCAGCUUGUGCUCUUCCAAAUGGGGAAGAAAACCAUUUGGAAGGGUGUCCAUCCAGAAGUAGUAGAAAACUAAUAAUAAUCAGGGAGAUUAUUUAACUAAAUUGUCAAAUGAUUCCAGCACUGUUGAUUUUGCCAUAAAUCUUCUUAAUUAUAAAUAAUAAAACCAAGAUGCAAAAAAUAAAACAAGUAUCAUCAAACUGGAAGGGCAAGGGAUGGGAGCCUGGAACAGCGGACCAGGAUUUGAGAAUACAUUUUUUAAAAGCAAUUGAAAGUUUCUGAGAAGGGGAAUGACCCAGUCAAAGCCCACAUUGAGAAUGGUGGUGGGCAGAUGGAAGGCGGAGAGAGGGGGAGCAGGGAUGAAGGCACUGCAUCUCCUGGGGUGAAGACAGCCAGUGGCAGUGGGACUUGUAAGAAGGGGACAGCUGUGAAGGUAUUGAAGGAAGUAGAAUCCACCAGAUCAACAGCCAACGUGAGAGGUAAAGAGAAGGGACAGAGGCCAAGGAUCUUUUUGUGCCUGUCUAACAGGGAGGAUAACUACUAAAGUAGCCUCUAAAUACAUUUAAGAAAUUAGUAAAUUAAUUAAUAAAUUACUAAAUUAGCCUCUAAAUUGGCUCUUUUUAAUCACUGGCAGCGUUGUUUCUCAGAAUGUUUUGACCUGUGGGCAAUUUAAGUGGACCCAAGACCCUAUUUAAUCUCUAUACUCUUGCUUAUUACAAAAAAAAAAAAAAAAAAAAAGAUCCAUGUGAAUACUGGCUUCCAAUGUCUCUUUCCAAGAUUGCUACUGUGCUUGGUUCAUGGAUGAUGACAACAAAUGUAAAUCUUACCCAGAGUAUGUAUGCAAAUGUAGACAACAAUUUGUUUUCUGGUCAUGUUAAAUUUACUGUUCAGAACCUUAUAGGGUAAAUGUAGAACAACACAUCUUCCAGCCAUAUCUUCUGCAUUCUUUAGGCUGUAAUCCCUGCAUUCCUGCAAUGUGAUCUCUUUCAGUGCCGGCUGUAUGGAUGCUUUCCACACAUGACACCAACAGGGAGGUUAGGAGGGUCCUAUGGUCAGAGUGAUAAGAGUGGUCCCACUCACGCACGGAUCAUCCUUCCCUCACCCUCGGCAGCUUAAAACUGACCUGAGAGAGCCUGAUGUCACUACAUCGGGUGGACCCUACAAGAGAGGGCAUGGAUUGAUAGGGUCACUUGUAAUUUAGGAGUGAUUGUCUUGAAAGCCCUUGAGGGAGACAGGCACAGCCUUGCUCAGGUCUAAGAAUGGUAUCACUGAAAGGAUUGUUUUAUUUUAUUGCUUUUUGUUUCAUUUUUUUACAACUGAUAUCCACAUUUCAAAACAAAAGAAUAAGACUUCUGGUAGAUUUCCUCAAAGGCAACUACUGAGAGAUUUGCCAAAGCCAUUGCCCCAGGGGUUGGUUUACAAAAACAAGGGCAUUGGAAAGCCAUGUAAUCUGAACUUUUCUCUCUGGCCUAUGCCAGCAUUUUAGCUGCCAAUAAGUAGACUUGCUUUUUGUUUCCAAAAAUAAAAAGUUAUUAUACUCUUGCUACCCAAGUCUACCCUUGGCCACUCCACGGACAAUCACUAAGAGAAGAGGGAUGCACUUUGUGGUGUUGUUUUUGGAAAGCUCCUAUUUAGAAAACUCUUGAUGGUAUGCUGUCAUGAAGGGGCUGGCGGCUGUGGACAGGCAGUGAUCAUCUAAUGGAGCCCCUGGAAGUACC